rnacentral:misc_RNA from 1 species
CUACCUUCAAGCACGGCUUGUGUGUUGAGCAUCUGUUCUUUUUUCUCAAAGGACAUGCUUGAAAUGUAGUGGCGAUGGCGAGUUUGAAGCCCGAGCGUAUGGAGCUUCGUCACACGCUGUGGUGGCCCAGCUCACCAUCUUUCUUGUCAGUUAUUAUUAAAACAUAAAUCU